rnacentral:rRNA from 1 species
GACGAACGCUGGCGGCGUGCUUAACACAUGCAAGUCGAACGGAAAGGCCCUGCUUUGGUGGGGUGCUCGAGUGGCGAACGGGUGAGUAACACGUGAGUAACCUGCCCUUGACUUUGGGAUAACCUCAGGAAACUGGGGCUAAUACCGGAUAGGAGCUCCUUCUGCAUGGUGGGGGUGGGAAAGUUUCGGCGUUUGGGGAUGGACUCGCGGCUUAUCAGCUUGUUGGUGGGGUAGUGGCUUACCAAGGCUUUGACGGGUAGCCGGCCUGAGAGGGUGACCGGCCACAUUGGGACUGAGAUACGGCCCAGACUCCUCCGGGAGGAAGAAGUGGGGAAUAUUGCAAAAUGGGCGGAAGCCUGAUGCAGCAACGCCGCGUGCGGGAUGACGGCCUUCGGGUUGUAAACCGCUUUCGCCUGUGACGAAGCGUGAGUGACGGUAAUGGGUAAAGAAGCACCGGCUAACUACGUG